AAAAUAAAAUAAAAUAAAAACUAUUACUUUCAUCCAAUCCUAGAGCCUUCCUAGCUUUCAAGGAACCUUUAAUGCGCUAAGCAUUCUCAAAACCCAACCUAGAUAAUACACCUGAGCAGUCCUCUUAGCAUUGCCAAAAAACUUAAAUAGCCACAAAGCUACAUUGAAAAUUUGCCUCACAGCAUGGAGGGCAUUGUGGAAGAAGUACAGCCUAAUAAUCAGGCCUUAUUCACACUGAUCAUAAAUUUAAUAGGCCCUAAUUUUCACCUUGAUACAUGAAUAUUUCUAAGAAUUAGAAACAAGACUAACAAAGACAGCUCACGCUUUUCUCACCAAACCAUUAGUAUAUAAUUCAUGUAGUUCCCCACCAAUGAUUGAAAA
rnacentral:misc_RNA from 1 species